CACAGAGAGCUUGCUCUCGGGUGACGAGCGGCGGACGGGUGAGUAAUGUCUGGGAAACUGCCUGAUGGAGGGGGAUAACUACUGGAAACGGUAGCUAAUACCGCAUAAUGUCGCAAGACCAAAGUGGGGGACCUUCGGGCCUCAUGCCAUCAGAUGUGCCCAGAUGGGAUUAGCUAGUAGGUGGGGUAACGGCUCACCUAGGCGACGAUCCCUAGCUGGUCUGAGAGGAUGACCAGCCACACUGGAACUGAGACACGGUCCAGACUCCUACGGGAGGCAGCAGUGGGGAAUAUUGCACAAUGGGCGCAAGCCUGAUGCAGCCAUGCCGCGUGUGUGAAGAAGGCCUUCGGGUUGUAAAGCACUUUCAGCGGGGAGGAAGGCGGUGAGGUUAAUAACCUUGUCGAUUGACGUUACCCGCAGAAGAAGCACCGGCUAACUCCGUGCCAGCAGCCGCGGUAAUACGGAGGGUGCAAGCGUUAAUCGGAAUUACUGGGCGUAAAGCGCACGCAGGCGGUCUGUCAAGUCGGAUGUGAAAUCCCCGGGCUCAACCUGGGAACUGCAUUCGAAACUGGCAGGCUAGAGUCUUGUAGAGGGGGGUAGAAUUCCAGGUGUAGCGGUGAAAUGCGUAGAGAUCUGGAGGAAUACCGGUGGCGAAGGCGGCCCCCUGGACAAAGACUGACGCUCAGGUGCGAAAGCGUGGGGAGCAAACAGGAUUAGAUACCCUGGUAGUCCACGCCGUAAACGAUGUCGAUUUGGAGGUUGUGCCCUUGAGGCGUGGCUUCCGGAGCUAACGCGUUAAAUCGACCGCCUGGGGAGUACGGCCGCAAGGUUAAAACUCAAAUGAAUUGACGGGGGCCCGCACAAGCGGUGGAGCAUGUGGUUUAAUUCGAUGCAACGCGAAGAACCUUACCUGGUCUUGACAUCCACAGAACUUUCCAGAGAUGGAUUGGUGCCUUCGGGAACUGUGAGACAGGUGCUGCAUGGCUGUCGUCAGCUCGUGUUGUGAAAUGUUGGGUUAAGUCCCGCAACGAGCGCAACCCUUAUCCUUUGUUGCCAGCGGUCCGGCCGGGAACUCAAAGGAGACUGCCAGUGAUAAACUGGAGGAAGGUGGGGAUGACGUCAAGUCAUCAUGGCCCUUACGACCAGGGCUACACACGUGCUACAAUGGCAUAUACAAAGAGAAGCGACCUCGCGAGAGCAAGCGGACCUCAUAAAGUAUGUCGUAGUCCGGAUUGGAGUCUGCAACUCGACUCCAUGAAGUCGGAAUCGCUAGUAAUCGUAGAUCAGAAUGCUACGGUGAAUACGUUCCCGGGCCUUGUACACACCGCCCGUCACACCAUGGGAGUGGGUUGCAAAAGAAGUAGGUAG
rnacentral:rRNA from 1 species